rnacentral:lncRNA from 1 species
AAUUUUUGAAAAUGGAUGUUGACUACAGCAAGUGGAGCAAAUUUACUUACAAAUUCUUUUUGUUACCAUAUCACGUUUCAAUUUUUAGGGAAAUGAACUGCACUCCGAUGAUGAAGUCGACAGCUUAAAGAAACAAAUUGAUGAGCUUAGGUUGAAUGAACAGAGGAAAGACUCAGAAAUUAGGCGGCUGAAGAAGGACUUGCGGGCAGCAGAAGACAAAAUCGGUAGACUUACAGAUGCCCUACUUGACAAGAUAGAGUCUGCUCGCAGUGAAGGAAGACAAAGCUGCAGUGGCAGUGAAAGAGCUGUUUCUGCGCCACAACAUGGGACCAGCCAUGUGGCAAACUCGGAGUUUAUAGGCGCAGCAAGCCUUGGAGAGCUUACAGCUGCGGAGCCUGCAGAUUAUAUUGACACUUCAGCUGGCAAUGUUAUUGCAGAGUUCAUUUUAGACUCUUCUGUGGAUGAAGCAUUGGGCCUUCCACAGACGCUCAUAUACGGUACAUCGCACGAGCAUA